rnacentral:rRNA from 1 species
GAUGAACGCUGGCGGCGUGCUUAACACAUGCAAGUCGAACGAGAAUCAACGGAUUGAGGAUUCGUCCAAAUGAAGUUGAGGAAAGUGGCGGACGGGUGAGUAACGCGUGAGGAACCUGCCUCGGAGUGGGGAAUAACAGUUGGAAACAGCUGCUAAUACCGCAUAAUGCAACGAAAUCGCAUGACUUUGUUGCCAAAGAUUUAUCGCUCUGAGAUGGCCUCGCGUCUGAUUAGCUAGUUGGCGGGGUAACGGCCCACCAAGGCGACGAUCAGUAGCCGACCUGAGAGGGUGACCGGCCACAUUGGGACUGAGACACGGCCCAA